CGGGGGAUGGGCGAGGGGGAGAAACUGAAGGGAGGGGAAGGAGUGGGACAGACAUUGGCCCAGGUCAGACCCUGAAGUUAGUCCAGAGCCCCAGUGCGGCAUGUUCUGGAUUCUGGGCUCUGGCAUGCAGCAUUCUGGCUUCCUAGCUCUUCCGCCUGGACCCUGACGUGCCGUGUUCUGUGUUCUGAGCUCCCUCCCCGCCAUGACAAGCCUUGUUCUAGGUUCUGUGCUCUCUGCUUCGGGCUUUGGUUCACCACGUUCUAGGCACUGACACGCUGUUGUUUUAUGUUCUGAGCGCCACCUUCUGGUUCCGAGCCUUUUACCCUGGCUCCGCGUGCCGCCUUAUGGGAUCCAAGGCCCCGGGGUCUGGCUUGUUAAGCUCUCUGACUUGCAUUGUUCUAGGUGCUGAGCCCCCCCCCCCCCCCCCCCCCCCCCCCCCCCCCCCCCCCCCCCAGCACUAGCCUCCAUGUUCUAGGUCCAAACCCAUAGACUCCACCCAACUUGCACAUUGUAAGUUCUAAUACUCCCACGUUCUAAGUUCUGAGCCCCCAGUUCUGACACGGCAUGUUCUAGGUCCUAAGCCCCCUCCCGGAUAUGCCGCGUUCUAGGCCCCAGACCCAUUCUCCAGCUCUGACACGCCUCCUUGUAGGUUCUAAGCUUCUAUCCCUGGCUGACUUGCCCAGGCUAAGGCCUCCCACACGCUGACUUAGCACAUCCUAGGUUCUGAGGGCACAGCUCCACCAUGGCAUGUUGUAGAUCCCAAGCCCAUCCCCCUUCUCGUGGCUUCUGACUUGCACGUUCUAAAGUUCUAAUACCCCCAGGUUCUGAAGUGCCACGUGCUAGAUUCUGAGCCCCCCCUCCAUGGGUGCAGACUGGCCUGCGUGUUCUAGCUUCUGCGCCCCUCUCGGUGCCGUGCUCCAGGUUCCAAGUCCCCCUCUUCUGUGUCUCCUUAUCCCUUGGGGCUCUGAGCAGAGCCAGAGAGCGUUUUGGGCGCGGCCCCUGGUUUAACACAGGCCGGGUUCUUUGAGCUGCAGCCAGAGAGGCUUUGACAUAGGGCAGUUGGUGCCAAGUUACAGGAACCCCGUGAAACAGCUGAUUUGGAGCCUCAGCUCUGGUGGUCCAAUGGUUGGCGUACCAAGCCCGCAGCCAGGGAGACUAACAUCCGGCCUCAGACACUCACUAGCUCUGCAACCCUCGAAAAGUUCCUUCACCCUGCUUGCCUCAGUUUCCUCAUUUGUAAAAUGAGCAUGGGAAGGAAAUGGCAAACGGCUCCAUGUCUCUGCCAAGGAAACCCCAAAUGGGGUCACUGAGAGUCAGAGAAGACUGAAAAAUAACUUGGCAACAACAGAAAGCUCAGGAGGAAAGAAACGGGCACCCCCCCCCCCUGCCCCCACAAAGAGUCACCUACUGUUCACCUGUCCAAGCCAGGAGCCCGGCGCUUGAUUUUUUUGUUUUUGUCCCCAAGAGAAGGCCCAUGGCAGGGGAGGUCAGGCAGGGGCGGGAGUGGGAAAAUUAAGUCAGGGCCAGCUGUCCAGCUGUGAGCCGGACGGCAGAAUGAGCCAGGGAUCCAAAGGCAGGGCCUCCAGGCCCCACCGAGAUGCCCACGGCAGAGGGAAGGCCUGGCCUAGACAGCUCCAGGGAGGGGCAGCCUGAGGAAAGGAGGGGCUGGGGAGCACUGGCCCCCAAGGCUUCCCCCUAACCACUUCCCUCUCCCCAAUCUUCCAAAACUUGCAGCCACCAGCGUCCCCUCCCCGUCGGGCUCAGUUCCUGGAGCCGCCGCCCCCUUCCGCCCCCUCUUCAAUGACUUUGGGCCGCCUUCCAUGGGCUACGUGCAGACUAUGAAGCCCCCUGGCUCCCAGGGCUCCCAGAGCACCUACACAGACCUGCUGUCCGUUAUCGAAGAGAUGGGCAAGGAGAUCCGGCCCACCUAUGCCGGCAGCAAGAGCGCCAUGGAGCGGCUGAAGCGAGGCAUCAUCCAUGCCCGGGCACUGGUCAGAGAAUGCCUGGCAGAGACAGAGCGCAACGCCCGCACGUAACGGCGUGCCAUCCCCUCUACCCUAUGGACCUUCCCACCUAUUUGCAUCACCUUUUGGAGCAGAGCCCCUCCCCUCGUGCCCUUCUUCUCUUCCUGACCUCCUCCUGCCCUGUGACCUCCAGCCACACAGGGUGGCGUGGGAGAAGCUGGAUCCAGCACCAGACAAAAGCAGCAGAGCCGACGCCUCGGCCUCGCCGGGCCUUGGAGAGUCCUUGGCCCGGCCCCACCUCCAGCCCGACUCUGUACUGACCUUCGGCCCCCAUCCCUCCCUGUCCCACGCUGGAUCUCCUCUCUCCUCUGCCGGGGGCCUCCCUGGCACCCACCACCUUCCAGCCCUGCCUCUGGGCUGCUCAAGGUGGUGCCUUUUCUCAGCGUCUUUUACUAAAAUGCUCUUUUUCUAUAAAUAAAAGGAGAUUUGGAGUUGUUCUCUGCGGACAUCGCUGGCUGCCUGCGGGCCUUGCGGGGCCGGAGGGGGGCUGGGGACGUUCAGGGAGGGCU
rnacentral:lncRNA from 1 species